AACAUGCGGACGCUCAGGGAAGGUGUAAUGAGCAACAGAAAAAAUGUGCUUCCUUCUGGGCUGAGAAGGAGGAACUCUCCAAGUCUAGCCUGAAAGACAAGACCAACCAGCAGCAGUUGGAGAAGGAACUUGCCAGAAUGCUGAACUGAGCAACAGCCUCAAAGCCCUAGAGAGAUCCAUGGCUACAUGGCUCUGUAGAGAGAGCUCGAUGGGACUAAAACUAAGCUGUCGGACCUGACGGAAAACUAUGAGAAUACCGAUCAGGAGACUUAGACGCUUACAGAAACUUAAGUCAUGCAAAGCCAACAUGAAGAAGCUUCAGGAGAAAAGAUCAAAGAGAGCGUGGAUGACCUGGGUGCUGGCGGUCGCUGUGGUUGUAACGGGAGUGACUGCUGCUGCACUCUUCAGAACCUGAGGGCAACUCGCUGGAGCACACACACAAGUGAAUCCAGCCAGCCCACCCCCCACGAGGCCCUCCGGUGGUCGAAAUCCGUCUCGAAUUCCGUCUCUGGCUGUGUGUUGGAGAGCACCGUGGCAUGCAUCACUGCCACAUCAAAGCUUGUCUGCAGCAAAACUGAAAAACUUGCCCCUCAUCAUAUCUGCACUAUUAAUUAGGAGGGCUCCUACGCAACACUGUUUGAUCCUUUAAUGAAUGUUAAGAGACUCUACACAAUUAAUUUAUUCUGAUUAUACAUGAUGAUAUUUUUCUGAGUCUGAACCUACCUAAAUGUAACACAUCUCUGUAAUUGUCAGAAUAUUAAAUA